rnacentral:rRNA from 1 species
CUGUCGUCAGCUCGUGUCGUGAGAUGUUGGGUUAAGUCCCGCAACGAGCGCAACCCUUAUUCUAUGUUGCCAGCAAGUAAUGUUGGGGACUCAUGGAAGACCGCCGGGGUCAACUCGGAGGAAGGUGGGGAUGACGUCAAGUCCUCAUGCCCCUUAUGUCCAGGGCUGCAAACACGCUACAAUGGCCGAUACAAAGGGUCGCUUGCCCGCGAGGGUUGGCCAAUCCCAUAAAGUCGGUCUCAGUUCGGAUUGAAGUCUGCAACUCGACUUCAUGAAGCUGGAGUUGCUAGUAAUCCCGGAUCAGCACGCCGGGGUGAAUACGUUCCCGGGCCUUGUACACACCGCCCGUCACACCACGAAAGUCGGCAACACCCGAAGCCGGUGGCCUAACCGAAAGGAAGGAGCCGUCGAAGGUGGGGUCGGUGAUUGGGGUGAAGUCGUAACAAGGUA